rnacentral:rRNA from 1 species
CCUACGGGUGGCAGCAGUGGGGAAUAUUGGACAAUGGGCGAAAGCCUGAUCCAGCCAUGCCGCGUGUGUGAAGAAGGCCUUCGGGUUGUAAAGCACUUUCAGUGGGGAAGAAAGCCUUGGGGCUAAUACCCUCGAGGAAGGACAUCACCCACAGAAGAAGCACCGGCUAACUCCGUGCCAGCAGCCGCGGUAAUACGGAGGGUGCGAGCGUUAAUCGGAAUUACUGGGCGUAAAGCGCGCGUAGGCGGUCUGAUAAGCCGGUUGUGAAAGCCCCGGGCUCAACCUGGGAACGGCAUCCGGAACUGUCAGGAUAGAGUACAGGAGAGGAAGGUAGAAUUCCCGGUGUAGCGGUGAAAUGCGUAGAGAUCGGGAGGAAUACCAGUGGCGAAGGCGGCCUUCUGGACUGACACUGACGCUGAGGUGCGAAAGCGUGGGUAGCAAACAGGAUUAGAUACCCGAGUAGUC